GGGAACGUCAUUGAUAUGGACAUAAAAUACAGGACACAAAUACACGAUACAAUUCCAAUACGAUGAUUCGACAAUUUUAAAAUAAUUAAGAUGCGAACACAAUAUAGUUAUCAUUGAUAAAAUAAAAUAUUAUCAAUAUACUAACAUAAAUAAAAUAUUAAUUUAUUAAAAUAUUACUAUAUUUCUCGUAUGAAUGAUGUUUAAAUAAAUUUUUAUCAAUAGUUUAUAC
rnacentral:lncRNA from 1 species